AUGAUUAUAGUUUAAAACACACUUGAUUUGCACUCUAAAAAAUAUAGUAUUCUCUAUUUAUCUUA
rnacentral:tRNA from 1 species